CUCUCCUCCUCCUCCUCGGUCUCGAUGGCGGAUCCGCGCGGAGCGAUCACGAUCACUCACGUUGACACUCUGGACUAAUGAAUAGUUGACUGUAUCCCAUCCUUUGGAUUCCGGUGGAAAGGACCCCAAAAUUGCCGCCCAAAAGAACAACUCUGAUCCAUACAUUGAGCUGUCUUUUCAGUUCUGUCCAACAAGUUAUUCCCCAUCCUGGACUUGGCAGAAAUUAAGAGCCAUGGGAGACUUCAAGGAGGACAGCUACAGUGUCCUUCUGACUCUGAGACUGUCAAAAAGAAAUCAUUUCAAGCAAAAACUUGACCUCGAAUCUUCUGUAGGCAUGCCAACUCCUGAGCUGAUUCGUGGGUCACCUAGAAAAGAAAUCCAAUAAUAAUAACAACAUUAAUUGCAGCCGUCACAUAUUGAACACAGACGAAGUGCCCAGGGCUAUACUAAAUGCCUGACAUGCAAGAGCUAUCGAGUGUAAUCCACACAACAACCGUGUGGAGCAAGGUAUUGUUACUUGCAUGUGUUAUACAAAGGAGCUCAGGUUGGAGGGUUUGGCAGUGGUUUUCAAACUGCAGUGCACAGGGCGCUGGGUUCCUUCCAGAAUUUCUGGGUCUGGGCUGGGGCCUCAAGAUUUCCAUUUUAAAAAGUUCCCAGGUUACUGCCGUUACUGCUGCCCUAGAGACCACACUGGAGAAACACUGAUUCCAGUCACUUGUUCAAGCUGACACAACAAGUAAGCGAGAGGAGGAUUUUUUCAAAAUUAAAACUUUGACUUAGAAAUGUACUCUUCAAAUAUCUGUAUUUCUUUGAAUUUUCUGAAGUCAAACCUUUGAAUUAUGAGCUCGUUGUUGCACUCACAAAGCACAGUAGCUCAGAUAGCUGCUUGUUUGCAUGAAAUGUCCUGUUCCAUGAGGUUUUUUAUGGCACAAAACAGUUGGUGAUACCUUAAAAGGGGAGGAUUUCAGGGACAUUUGUGGAAGGAUCAUCAAGUCCUUAAAUCACCCCUACCUGGCCAUGCCUGAGAUCAGCAGCCCUGCAGAAGUAAAGAAUUUGCAAGAGCUAUGACCCAGGUCCAGCUGGAAGAUUCAUUAGAAGUUGCAAGAUGGAGCCCAGCUGGGCAAGCCGCACCUGGCUACCAUGUGUGCCUGAGAGGCAUGGUAUUUCCAAGGAGAGCUCUCAAUGCACAGCCCACUUGGGCAUCAGAAGGCUCUGGAUCCCUUGAAUGUUGCUCAAGCGAGGCACUUGCAACUAGCCAGCCACUGCAGCAAGGGAACCACUGCAGCAAGCUGCCAUUGGUAUAAAAAGUGGGAUGUAUUUUGGUUCCUACUGCACACUUUGGGACUGAAGGGGUGGAACUUCCCAGAAGCAUGUGGUGAAAAAUAUGAAAGGAGACACAGGACAUAGGGAGAGAGCGAGGAGAAAAGCUGAAAAUCCCCGUGUGAAUACAGUAAUCCCGCAGAAGGUCAUUGGCUCCUUUAUUGGGUUGUAAAUGCAAAGAACUGGAAUCUAAAUAUGUAGGCAAGGCACACAUCAAGAAAUGUAAAUACUCAGGGGCUUGAGGAAAAGAGAUAAAUUGAGGCAAACAAGUGGUGCCGUGGACAACGGCAGAAGCUGGCUGAUGAGUGACUGUCGUGGUGCAGGACGGAGGCAUACAGUGUGCACUGGAUUUGCUCUCCAGAGCCUAAGAUCUCAGAGCUAACUCUAUAGAUUAAAUUGGUUGAUCUUUGAAGGCCAUUCCUCUUCUAUAUACAUGGAUGUAUUCAUUUGGACAUUCACUCACUCAUUCACUCAUUCAUUCCUUCAACAGCUUUUUUUUUUUUUUACUGGGCACAUGUUAUGGGGCCAACUAUUCAUUUAGACAUAGGCAGCAAAAGCUCAGACUCCAUUCUCUGCUCUUCUGGAGGUUAAUCAUUAAUGGGUGAGACAAUACAUGAAAUAAAUUGUACAGCAUAUUAAGAUCUGAAAAGUUCCAAAGAGAAGAGUUAAAAUAGAAAGAAGAUACGGAUUCGCAGGUGGUAUGGUUGAAGGAUGGCUUGUUUAUUCCCAGCUACAUUUAUCAAGGUUGCUAUGGUUUGGAUCAAGCUUUUGGAAAAUGAUUCAGUCAUGAUCAUUCUAACUUCAUCAGUGGAUUAAUCCAUUGAUGGAGUCAUAAUUUGAUGGAAUUACCAGGAAGUGACAGAAACAGGAGGUGGGAACCAGUUGAAGAUAGUGGGUGACGAGCAUGUUAGGUUGGGAGUCACAUUUUGUUCCCAGCCCUUUUGUCUCUGAGCCUUUCACUCUCCCUCCACUUCCUGGGCACCAUGAGUUGAGCCUCUAUCACACCUUUCUGCCAUGAUAUUUCUGCCUGACCCCAGGCCCAAGAGCAACAGAGCAACUAACCAUGGACUGAAACUUCUGGAACCGUGAGCCAAAAUAAAUCUUUGUUCUUAUAUGUUGAUAUCUUCAGGUAUUUUGUCCCAGUAAUAAAAAGCUAAUACAACCACCAAUGAAUCCCCUUUGGUUACAAAGAAAGGAAAAUUAAAUCACAUUGGUCUAAGAAAAAAAAGGAAAAAUGUUGGCAGUAGACAACGCAGAAGUCCUGGCAUUGAUAAUUUUUAAUGUUACUUUUCCUUCUAGCACUCACUCCACUGAUGCUUUCUGAUACAGCUCAGAUAUCCUGGGGUAUCUUUUUCUUAUUUGACCUCUGUACCUCUGGGGAAGUAGGACUUCUCCCUAGUUCAGGGCUUCUGCCAAUCAGGACACUUCAUUCCCUUACUGAUCAUAGUGACUGUUUCUUGAGAAGGCAAGGGUCCAAGGAAGUGCAAUGUCAGAAAUUUCACCUGCUUUCUUUUGCUGAACCUGGAGGGGAAAAGUCAUUGCUGGCAGCUACUUUAUAACCAGGGGGAGGAGGAAGCUGCCUUAGAGUAAAGUAAAGCAGAGAGAUGAAGAAAAGAAAUAAGAACAAAAAUAAAAACCCAGGAUCUGGAUGACACCAUUCAUCCAGUGGAUAAACACUCUGGAGUAAAUCUGCCAGUGUCUAGGCUUAUAGUUAAAUGAGUCAAAAACAAUUUUCUUUAUGGCUUAGCGCCAUUGAGUUGGGCUUUCUGUUAGUUUAAAUAGAAAGAUGAAAUACCUAGUUCAGGCACAGUUAUGACCAGACUCUUGCUCAUCAUGGGCCGCUGAUUUUCUCUGUGUGGGCUUCACUCAACCUGGCUUCCCCACAGUUUCCACUGGCAGCCUCAUCCCUGCAGCACCUGCAAGGCCUUUGCACCCACCUGGUUGUGUUACCAGGGUCUACUUCAGCCUUUGAACCACGCACUGAGAUUGGGGGGUGAAACACCACCAAUCUGGGACUGAUGUCCUCUCCUGGGGCCAGGGCUGAAGCCUGAUUCAUUUAAAUCACAUUGUCUGAGAGAGCUGGUUCCUCAAAUUAGGGAGUUGUUCCUAGAAAGUUGGGGCGUGGAUGUGGGACAGUUGGGAGGAAGCUAUGCCCUAAUGUCUUAUGUUCCACUUGGACAUCUCACAUUUCUCAUUGCAAAAUGAAAAGUUAAGACAAAGCGACUGCUCCCAGCAGUUUUAUCACCAAGGACACCUUCUCGUGCCAUUCUCUGUUGGUGCUGGAUUAAACUAAAUUGGAAAGACUUUGUCUGUAACUUACCUAGUCACCCAUCACGCAUUCACCUACCGUUCAGCAUGCUGCUGUGUAAUAGCCAUUAGCUCCCGAUUUUGUUCUCCUCCAUGAGGACACGGCAGCAACACAUGUUGGAAGAGAUGUGAGCACUCUAUUCAGUGACACAGAAUGGCAGAGUCUGCUGGAGGUUUCCCUUCAGGGUUAAAAAGCCAUAGCUGUUGGAGAGAAACCUUUGUGCUCAUAAUUUCUAUUCUGCUUGGAAAGCAGGUAUGAGGAUGGGGUGUCUGGAGUGGAUGCAAAAGAUCUGACAUGUAUGAAGAAAAAUCAGCAGGUUGAGCCUAAUAGAACAAAAAGAACAGUCGAAUUCUGGAGUCACCAUCAUGUGACCUAGGCAGAAUCUCUAGGCCUAUGAUGAACCUAGACUCAUACCCAUCCAGAUUUUUUUGCUAGGUGAGAGAACUCAGCUCUUCAUUGCUCAAGGCACAGUUACAGUAUUCUGUUACAUAGAGUCAAAAGCAUUCCUGCUUGCUACAGUCAGAUCCAGGAGAGGUCCCCAGGCAGCUUUAGUCUGAAGAUGGGCAGUGAACUGAUGAUUACAAGUGUCACCAGGGUCCUUCUUGAACCGGAAACACUGGAGCUUAUAUCUGGGGACCUAAUCAUUGAAAGAAACUGCAUGUAUGCAACAAGCAAUAACAUUUUUCUAUUAUUUUAGAGAAUUAAGUGAGAGGUCCACACAGUAGAUAUUUCCCAUUGCAGCCCAACUCUGCUGGUGCAGUGCAAAAGAAGCCAUAGACCAUACAUGAAUGAAUGGGUGUGGUUGUGUACCAAUAAAACUUUAUUUACAAAAACAGGCAGUUGGCUGGGUUGGCCAGUAGUUUGCUGACUCCCAAAUUAGACAAUCACAACUGAGUGUGCAAUGAAAACAGCAAUCAACGGGACUGUGUACCACUUAUUAAAAUAUAGUGGACCAGUCUUAAUCCCGUGGUGCUAAUUUUCCAAUGUCAGGUCCUUGCAUGCAGGCACUUUGUGACCCCUUGAUACAUCUGUAGCCUGCCUUCCUGUUCUGCCACAGCUAUGGAUAAUGGGGUGCGUCAGGUGGGCAUCAAUCCAUAGUGAACGUAGAAACCCUAGUAGGAGGGGUUGGGAAGGUACUGAUAAAGUGUGGGGCACUCUGAUGAAAACACAUGUCAUGGCAUCAUGAAACAGGCAGAGACACAAAAACAUCACAUUGGAUUACUUUUGCUAGAAUUUUUGUGACCAACAUACACUGCGUUUGUCACCAGCUUAAAGAUGGCAACUGUGGUUAGAAGAAAUGCACAAACCACGUAACGUACGCAGUGUUGUGAUUUAUAAGGAGCGUGAUUAAUACUGUGCAUUUUAAACCUGUGUGCAUAUAUGUCACAAACUGUAUGGUUCACUAAACAUCACAAGAGACUUCCAAAGAAACCAAGACUGAAGAAAAGUUACAUUUUGCCACCUUAGUUUUGAAUCAUGAUUCUCUUUCACCAAUGGUUGUAAAAUUUUAAUUAGCUUUGAUUUUGAAAAAAAAAAAAAAAACCUUAUAAAAUCAGAUUCUUUCUACCCUUACUAAUUAUAUGUUGGAAAAAUGUUUGAAGGGUAUUGGGUUAAAGAGUCAAUAAAUUAUUUACCCUUGGUGACUUCUGUAUAUAAAAGCCCACGACUCAGUUACUGUUGGAUCCAGGAAGGUAUAAAUAGAAUGCGUUGGCUAUGGGCCAAAGGAAUGGUGAAGACUGAGGCAGACACUUAUGCCCUGUUCAGCCUGUUGUGUCUCUCUCUGUCUCUCUCCCCAAUCCCUUUGCACAAAAGCAUGCAAACUCCAGUUCCCUUCUCCAGACAAGAAACACGCAUUCCUUCAACUGAUAGAGCCAGAGCUUCCGCACAGUGCUGAGGCCUGAACUGAUCGGGUGGCUUAAUCCUGCCUGGCCCUGACAAGAUAACUGGUUGUAGAACAUAGCACCUUUUCCCGUAUCUCACACUAUGGAUCUAUUAGUAUUGCUAUUUAUGUGAAAAAGAAGAGAGAGUGCUAAUUUAUACAUACAUUUGUUUUGUAAAAAUUCUACUCCUGUUCUCAGAUUGGUUCAAAUCCCCCAGAAUAUCACUCUUCUGUGAUCUGUAAUCUGGCUAGAAGGGGAAAUGCUAAGGCGUUUAAGAAUUUCAAAUUCCUGUAUUGCCACUUGUAGUGAGCUGUGUCAUUGACAGAGCCAUGCAGUUUUUCUCCUGCCCUAAAUGUCACAAAAAGAAAAGUGAUUCACAGCAGUUUACACAUGCCAAACACAUUUGUCGAAUAAACAACACAGAGCAAACUGCAGUUGAAAUACCACCCAUAAAGAAACACAGUAGUUAAUCUGACUUUAAUUGAAAUGUUGCAUGUUGAUACCUUUUGUUUAUGCAUGAGACAAAACUGAUAUAAAGGAGAGCAAUGAUGAUAAUCAUAUUCGAGACAUUUUGAAGGUUGGGGCUUCUGAAGCACUUGAAGAAGAAAAGAAAUACCACAUGUACUCAUGUUAAAGAAAUGCUGCAUUUGGUUUAGAAAGUGCUUCCAAUAUGGUAAUGAAUAAGGUAAAAUUUCCAUUUUAGUGCAGUGCUGAAUUGAGCUACUGUGUGCUUCUGGGAGAUAUGUUUAGGCAUUCGACAAUUAAAAAAAAAAAAAAAACUGAAGUAUUGGGUCUAAAGGGCCCGAGUUGUACUUUCUGCCUAACUUCUGUCCAUCUUGCUCCUUUAGAUAAUACCAUUUAGGGUUUGGGAAGUUUAUUCUUUGUUGUGCUCAACAAUGGCAUUCUUGUGGUGUGGAUCCAUAACCUCUCAGGGACUGGCUAAGGCUGAUAACCUCCCCGCCACUCUCCUCUGGCAACCAGGACUGGACUGAAGAUGGGCAAAACUUAGUCAGAGCCAGGAUCUGUAGAGAAGUUUGCUAGGGUUCUGGGCAUAAAAAGGUUUAUUUUUUUUUCUUGAGAACCACGGAAGUGGGGCGCAUUUUGUCUGGAAUCUGUGUGAUAUGAAGAUGUGAAGAUUUGAGUAGUGUCCUUGUUACUAAAAUGAAAACCCUGCAGUUGGUGGUGGGAUCUCUUGAGGCCAAAAGAGGCAAAAAAUACUGUGAAAGACAGAACGUGAAAAAUGAAGUAAAAGGCUCAUCCUUGAGGAUACUAGUUCCAGCUGGACCUGAAGCUUCUUCUGCCUUUCAUCUUUUUGGGGACACAAGACUAUACAUUCCGUUAUUUUGCAAGCAAUUUGAGUUGGGUUUCUAUCAUUUUCAAUGGUAAAAUUUGUAACUCAUCAUUUAGCUUUGUCUAACUGAGGAUUAUAUGUUAAAUAUAUUAAUGUCCUUUCAAUGAAUUAUGUGAGUAAAAUUGGACCAUACUGAGUUUCUGCCUUAUUGUUUGGUUUACUGUGUUUUUUCAGUUGGAAUAAAAGGCAUCAUUGGUUGUAUUAUUACUAGU